rnacentral:rRNA from 1 species
AGUGAACGCUGGCGGUAGGCCUAACACAUGCAAGUCGAACGGCAGCACAGUAAGAGCUUGCUCUUCCGGGUGGCGAGUGGCGGACGGGUGAGGAAUACAUCGGAAUCUACUUUUUCGUGGGGGAUAACGUAGGGAAACUUACGCUAAUACCGCAUACGACCUACGGGUGAAAGCAGGGGAUCUUAGGAGCUUGCGCGAUUGCAUGAGCCGAUGUCGGAUUAGCUAGUUGGCGGGGUAAAGGCCCACCAAGGCGACGAUCCGUAGCUGGUCUGAGAGGAUGAUCAGCCACACUGGAACUGAGACACGGUCCAGACUCCUACGGGAGGCAGCAGUGGGGAAUAUUGGACAAUGGGCGCAAGCCUGAUGCAGCCAUACCGCGUGGGUGAAGAAGGCUUUCGGGUUGUAAAGCCCUUUUGUUGGGAAAGAAAAGCAGCAGGUUAAUACCCUGCUGUUCUGACGGUACCCAAAGAAUAAGCACCGGCUAACUACGUG